rnacentral:rRNA from 1 species
AGUGAACGCUGGCGGUAGGCCUAACACAUGCAAGUCGAACGGCAGCACAGUAAGAGCUUGCUCUUACGGGUGGCGAGUGGCGGAUGGGUGAGGAAUACAUCGGAAUCUACUUUUUCGUGGGGGAUAACGUAGGGAAACUUACGCUAAUACCGCAUACGACCUACGGGUGAAAGCAGGGGAUCUUCGGACCUUGCGCGAUUGAAUGAGCCGAUGUCGGAUUAGCUAGUUGGCGGGGUAAAGGCCCACCAAGGCGACGAUCCGUAGCUGGUCUGAGAGGAUGAUCGGCCAACCUGAAACUAGACCACGUUCCGGACUCCAAGGGGAGGCACAGUGGGGAAUAUUUGACCAAGGGGCGCAGGCCGAUUCCGCCCUUACCGCUGGGUGAAGAAGGCCUUCGGGUUGUAAAGCCCUUUUGUUGGGAAAGAAAAGCAGCAGGUUAAUACCCCGCUGUUCUGACGGUACCCAAAGAAUAAGCACCGGCUAACUUCGUG